UGUGUGUGUGUGUGUGUGUAUCAUCUUUGUAUUGACGUUAGGAAUGUUGGCUAUGUACUUGUGUCUCAAUGUGUUUUGAUUCUAAGUAGCCUCAGUGAAACAUUUGGUCAGCUUCUUGAGAAA